UGGUGCCGGGAUUAAGCUGAGGCGCCAUAGCACUUUACUGGCGCAUAACUGGGGCCGCCUGCCCUUUGCGGGCGGCCCUUUUAACUGCUAGCUACAGGC
rnacentral:snoRNA from 14 species